rnacentral:rRNA from 1 species
UACGUAGGGCGCAAGCGUUGUCCGGAAUUAUUGGGCGUAAAGAGCUCGUAGGCGGUUUGUCGCGUCUGCUGUGAAAACCCGAGGCUCAACCUCGGGCCUGCAGUGGGUACGGGCAGACUAGGGUGUGGUAGGGGAGACUGGAAUUCCUGGUGUAGCGGUGAAAUGCGCAGAUAUCAGGAGGAACACCGAUGGCGAAGGCAGGUCUCUGGGCCACUACUGACGCUGAGAAGCGAAAGCAUGGGGAGCGAACAGG